rnacentral:rRNA from 1 species
AUGGCGGCCGCGGGAUUCGAUUACCUUACCCGGGCUUGAAUUGCAGAGGAAAGAUCCAGAGAUGGUGAUGCCCUUCGGGGCCUCUGUGAAGGUGCUGCAUGGUUGUCGUCAGCUCGUGCCGUGAGGUGUCGGCUUAAGUGCCAUAACGAGCGCAACCCCUUUCCCUAGUUGCCAUCGGUUCUAGCCGGGCACUCUGGGGACACUGCCUCCGCAAGGAGUGAGGAAGGUGGGGAUGACGUCAAAUCACCACGGCCCUUACGUCCGGGGCUACACACGUGUUACAAUGGGUGAUACAGAGGGCCGGCCGCUGGCAACAUCGGUCCAAUCCUUAAAGUCAUCCUCAGUUCGGACUGGGGUCUGCAACCCGACCCCACGAAGCUGGAUUCGCUAGUAAUCGCGCAUCAGCCAUGGCG